ensembl:lncRNA
GAUUUGUGAAGAGAAAACGCGUGAUUUUCGGGUUAAAUGGAAGAUUCCUGAAGAGAAAACGCGUGAUUUUCGCUUAAAUGGGGGAUUUGUGAAGAGAAAACUUGUGUUUUUCGCUUAAAUGGGGGAUUUGCAAAUUGAAAAUGUGCGAUUAUCGGGUAAAUGGGGGAUUUUCGAAGAGAAAACACGUGUUUUCCACAUAAAUGGGGGAUUUGCGAAGAGAAAACACGUGUUUUUCGCUUAAAUGGGGGAUUUGCGAAGAGAAAACGCGUGGUUUUCGGGUUAAAUGGAAGAUUCCUGAAGAGAAAACGCGUGAUUUUCGGGUUAAAUGGCGGAUUUGUGAAGAGAAAACGAGUGUUUUUCGCUUAAACGGGGAAUUUGUGAAGAGAAAACGCGUGAUUUUCGGUUAACUGGGAAAUUUUCGAAGAGAAAACACGUGUUUUCCACAUAAAUGGGGGAUUUGCGAAGAGAAAACACGUGAUUUUCAGGUUUAAUGGAAGAUUCAUGAAGAGAAAACGCGUGAUUUUCAAGUUAAAUGGGGGAUGUCCGAAGAGAAAACGCGUGAUUUUCGCUGAAAUGGGGUAUUUGAGAAGAGAAAAUUUGUG